CCUACGGGAGGCAGCAGUGAGGAAUAUUGGUCAAUGGGCGAGAGCCUGAACCAGCCAAGUCGCGUGAGGGAGUACUGCCCUAUGGGUUGUAAACCUCUUUUGUCGGGGAGCAAAAGCCGGACGUGUCCGGCUGUGAGAGUACCCGAAGAAAAAGCAUCGGCUAACUCCGUGCCAGCAGCCGCGGUAAUACGGAGGAUGCGAGCGUUAUCCGGAUUUAUUGGGUUUAAAGGGUGCGCAGGCGGAUUGUUAAGUCAGCGGUAAAAUCGUGGGGCUCAACCCCAUCCAGCCGUUGAAACUGGGGAUCUAGAGUGUGCGAGAGGUAUGCGGAAUGCGUGGUGUAGCGGUGAAAUGCAUAGAUAGCACGCAGAACCCCGAUUGCGAAGGCAGCAUACCGGUGCACAACUGACGCUCAGGCACGAAAGCGUGGGUAUCGAACAGGAUUAGAUACCCCUGUAGUC
rnacentral:rRNA from 1 species